AAAAAUUUUUUGAUUAAAAAAACAAAAGAAACACAAGAUGAGCAACUCGUAAUUGACACAAAUAAAAAUGUUACAAACAAUGUCAUACAUAAUUCUAAAGUUGAAAAUAUUGUUAAUAUAGUCGACAGUAACACUGCAGAUGCAUUAAUUGCUUCUCCGAUAGCAAGUGAUAAUGAUUGGAUCUUUUCUGACAAAGAAGUAAAAAUAUUACUUGUAGAAGACGAAAAGGAAAAUGAAGAUAAAGGGCUAACAUUUAAUGAAAUUGGAGAAACACCCC
rnacentral:lncRNA from 13 species